CCUACGGGCGGCAGCAGUGAGGAAUAUUGGUCAAUGGACUCACGUCUGAACCAGCCAUGCCGCGUGCAGGAAGACUGCCCUAUGAGUUGUAAACUGCUUUUGUACGAGAGUAAACGCAGCUACGUGUAUCUGUCUGAAAGUAUCCUACGGAUAAGGCACGGCUAAAGCCGGGCCAGCCGCCGCGGUAAUACGGAGGGUUGCAGGGUUAUCCGGAUUUAUUGGGUUUAAAGGGUGCGUAGGCGGUAGGAUAAGUUAGAGGUGAAAUCCCGAGGCUCAACUUCGGAAUUGCCUCUGAUACUGUUCGGCUAGAGAGUAGUUGCGGUAGGCGGAAUGUAUGGUGUAGCGGUGAAAUGCUUAGAGAUCAUACAGAACACCGAUUGCGAAGGCAGCUUACCAAGCUACUUCUGACGUUGAGGCACGAAAGCGUGGGGAGCAAACAGGAUUAGAUACCCUUGUAGUC
rnacentral:rRNA from 1 species